rnacentral:sRNA from 1 species
GGGGGUGGGCUUUGAGGGUUUAUAGCCUCUCUCUACUCCCUGCUCCGUCUCCCUGUCUCCUGGAUGUGUGGAUGAAAUGUCAUGCCUCUGUCAUGCCUCCUUUGCCACAUGGACUUUAUCCCCUUGGGACUGAAGCCAAAAUUACACUUCCUUCCUUAACUUGCUGUUGGUCAUGAGACUUUUAUCACAACAACAGAAAGGCCCGCUGAGAAAAAGGGCCCAGAAGAAGUACCUGAAGGGAAGAAGGGCUUAUCUUGGUUUGCAGAUCUACGGGAUGAAGCCCAUAUGGUGAAGAAGGUUGGAGGAAGGUGCCGGAUUUCCAGGAAGUGAAGAUACAGAUGGUUGCCGACUGCCAAGCGGAUGCUAGGAACUGAGCGUAGGUCCUCCAGGAGAGCAGCCAGCGCUGGUCACUGCUGAGCCAUCUCUCCGAAAAGUUUUAUCACUGUACGACUGAAGAGGACUUCAUGGGACCUGCACGUCUCAUUUUAUCCUGUUAUUGUCACGUUAACAGCGAGCAGUGAACAAGGGUGAUGACGAGUCAGAUGGAGAGACAACAUGCAAGGCAAAUGGCGUUUCCUCAGCACCAACAGGAGGUUGCCCUGAUGCCAGCUGUAGCCACUGCUCACUCUGGCAAGACCGAGUGUGCAAACUUGCCUUUGCUCUUUUUGCUCCGAACAAACCCAGGCCACUCCCGCUGCUCAGGAGACAACCCUUGGACCUGUUUUCCUCCUAUGGUGACACUGACUUUCUUGUCUGUUUUUGAGGUAUGUCCUCACAUAGCCUUUCCUGGCCUCAAACUCAUUUGUCAAACUAAACUACUAUGACUACAACUACUACUCCUCCUUCUCCUU